rnacentral:tRNA from 1 species
GCGCCCGUAGCUCAACGGAUAGAGCGUCUGACUUCGAAUCAGAAGGUUGGGGGUUCGAGCCCCUCCGGGCGUACCA